ensembl:lncRNA
GGCUGCAGCUCGCGGGUCCCACGGUCCUGCUGCAGAUGAUACCGACCGGACUGGAUAAGACCAUACAGGACCGGUUCAGACCAUACCAGACCGGACCAGUGAAGACCAUUCAGGGACUAGACCUGUGCAGACCAUACCGGGACCAGUGCACUGCAGACCAUACCAGAACGGACCAGACCAGACCGGAACUUGAGGGGACUGCAUAAACGGUUCCCCGGAUCAGACCGGACCCACGUCUUCACCAAGACCUUCUCCGUUCAGCCCCAACUGCGACGUCUCGCGAGGCUCCGCACCUACCUGACGACGUGCCCUCGUCUCGCGAGGCUCCGCAACUACCUGACGACGUGCCCUCGUCUCGCGAGGCUCCGCACCUACCUG